AACUUUAUUGAGACAUGGAUGGAUUUCAUUUAUUGUAUUUAAUAAGAUUUGUAAUAGUAUAGGAUGUGUCCUUCGUGUGCUUAUAUGUGGGUUAGAAAAAUAACAUUUUUUUUUAUCAUGUUGUGCAGUUUUUCCAAGAUCCAACUCUUCUCCACAAAUUCAAAUCUAAGAAGUAUGUUCUUGAAUUUCUUAAUAAACAAAAGGAGUCAGAUGUGGUGGAGUAAGGGCAUCUGCUGAGCUUUCAUAUAGGGGCGUUUUAGUUGAUGAGGACAUAUCAGUCUCUUCUUGGAGGGGAAUCUAUUGCCUAAUAAUUUAGAGUUUCAUUUCGUUUACAUUUGAAUGAGUUGUCGAAUAUCGGUAGUUAUUUAAGAAUUUAUUUCAUUUUAAUUUGAACCAGAUGCAGAAUUUUGGUAGCCGUUUAGGAUUUUAUUUUGUUUUAAUUUGAACCAGUUGUAGAAUGUUAGUAGUCAUGUAAGAAUUUAUCCCAUUUUAAUUUGAAUCAAUUGCAGAAUAUUGAUUUGA